rnacentral:rRNA from 1 species
UGAGGAAUAUUGGACAAUGGGUGAGAGCCUGAUCCAGCCAUCCCGCGUGAAGGAUGACGGUCCUAUGGAUUGUGAACUUCUUUUGUACAGGGAUAAACCUACUCUCGUGAGGGUAGCUGAAGGUACUGUACGAAUAAGCACCGGCUAACUCCGUGCCAGCAGCCGCGGUAAUACGGAGGGUGCAAGCGUUAUCCGGCUUUAUUGGGUUUAAAGGGUCCGUAGGCGGACUUGUAAGUCAGUGGUGAAAUCUCAUAGCUUAACUAUGAAACUGCCAUUGAUACUGCAGGUCUUGAGUAAAUUUGAAGUGGCUGGAAUAAGUAGUGUAGCGGUGAAAUGCAUAGAUAUUACUUAGAACACCAAUUGCGAAGGCAGGUCACUAAGAUUUAACUGACGCUGAUGGACGAAAGCGUGGGGAGCGAACA